ACCAAAUUCCUUCUCAAUUGAUCAAGGCUAAAUCCCACCCUUGCCCAUACUCAAAUGAUAUAAAUGCUGAGCUAAGGAGUACAUCAUUUCCUUAUAUGAAAAAUCACAGAAGGCCUGGAAGUUCACCUCCCUAACUGGUUAAUGGUAUCUAUGUCUGUGGAAGUAAGAGGAGGCCAAGAUUAAAGAGAAAGGGAUUUAAAGGGGUGUUAUACCUUUAUUUUGGCAGUGGCAGCACCGAGCUGCUCUGGGGGACCCUCUCCCCAGUGGCAAGAAAAGAAUAUGCCCAGCUGAGGCAGAUGGAUAACUACAUUCCCCAAAUCCUACCUUCAUCAGUUAUAUCCCGGUGAGAGCAUGUGACAGACCGUGGCCAAUGGACUCCAGAGACAAAUGAUGCAUGCAUAUGCAUCACUUCAGGGUCUGGCUGGAGGGGUCCAGAUGCUGGUUGACCAUAAUUCUUACUCCUGGAAAAACUGGAGUCAACUAUCAGGGACAGAGACUCCAGAAUAAUCAGCAGGAACGACUCAGUCCCCCAGGGACUCCUCCCAUGUGCUUCGUGGACAGAGUGGUGGAGAGACUGGGAGGGGCCUUGGAAGUAGCAACAAAAGGGGUUAAGAAAAAAAAAAUAAAAGAAAAAAAAAAAAACAUUUAACCACAGUCAAUGAAAUUAGAUAAAAUUAUCUGCUAGUCUUUAUGUAAAGACCUAAUGCUGCCCUCUACCAUAAAGGCUCUAUACAGCUUGUAAGAUACAGUAAAAUUAAUUUUAUAUUGGGCUGCCAGGUGCUGUUAGAAUAGCAUGUUUAUAUAAGCAGCCCCAGAGCUUCAAACAUUGAGUUGUAAAGGCCAAGUCUCAGUGAGUGGCUUAGCAAAGAGAAACUCAAAUCCCUGCAUUCCCCCUGGGGCAAAGUCUAGGCAAUCUUUAUGACUGUACACCCUGUUGGGUGUUUUUCCUCAAAUAGUUCCUCCUGACAGCACCUGGCAGAGCCCUGAAUGAGAAUGGUGUGACCUGUCUCUGGGGUUUGCUUCACAGCAAGUUGGAAGUGAAUUGGAAAUGACUGUAUUUGAAAACUUGGUAAAGAGAAUACCUAUAUAUAAAGACACAGAUUAGACUUUCUCCAGCUUCAAAUAAAAGAAGCCAGGAUCAUUGUAGGGAAGAUGAAAAUAAGCUGAGGCAGGCGUGAUUGGAAAAUCUCGAGACAGUGUUUGAAGCAGUGGCUCCCAGUCCAACAAAGGUGGUAUACAGUUGUUGAGAGAGGAAGCCAUGUCCCUUCACCUGCUUCCUUUGUGUAGAUGGGCUCAUGGAAUAUCACCAGUGGAAUAAGAGCAGAAGGCAUGAGUGGCUCUUUCAGACCUGUACCAUCUCCCUUUCUCCUUCUGCUGGAUUUUUGCAGAAAACCACAAUCACCUGGAAAUCACACAUUGAAUGACAGAGCCACAAUGUGGAAGGAGCCUGGGUCUUUCCAUUACUGCUUGGAGAAAAAGAAAUCCAGAAUGUCCAGAUAUGCUUGAAGAUCCAGUGUUGGGAAAGGAGAGGUAGAAAAGUCCCAGUAUUGUGUAGAUGAUGUCUUGAAUACCAUGACUAGAUGGAUUGUUUACCCUGGAGAGUCCUCCAAGAAUAUAUGUUCUCAGUGGUGAUGAUGGCCAUCCCCUUUCUUUGUGUGACACCAAUUCCAGCAGCAGGAACCCUCCACUUAUAAUUUUAUGUGAUCAUUGAAUCUAUUUAAAUAAAGAAAGCAGAGAGGAAUUUACCCAUUCAACAGAUGAAUAGAGAAUCCUAGAUGGAAUAUGACUUAACAAUAUCACAAAAUAUUAAAGAACAAGCUCAAGUCAAGAACCCAGGACUCAAAAUUUCAUCUUUCCAUCCAUUCAUUGAUUCAGCUAAUGUUCAUUAAGCACUAAUUUGCUGAGCACUGUCCACCUCCAGGUAUUGCUUAACACAUCCUCAUGCUAUGCUUCCAUAGUACAGACACAUAUAUCUCUCUCCUGCUUAGUGUGUUGUAAAGCAUGCCCCUUCCCCCUUCCCUCCCAUCCUCUUCCAACCUGUGAUGGACAAAAUUAUGGGAGGAGUGUCAUAUGGCAAGAAAGCAUUGAACCUCACUUAUGCACAGUCUGGAAUUUGGCUGAAAGUACCUAAGUUCAAGAAUUGGACAAUGUUUAAUGGCUCCCCAAGGACCUAGAAGCAUUCUCUCAGUGCCUCAGCCUGGGCUUCAGAUUUACAAAUUGAGAAAGGCAGCUUUCGGUUCAGAGCCUGGAUCCAUAAACACCACAAUCCAGCUUUACUGGCUAUAAGCCAUCACAGCAUCUGGGAUAAACAUGGGACAAUCCCACACAGACGCAGCCUGCUUGGUCACUACCACAGACAUUGGGACACUCAGAUUGAGAAGCUAGCUUCCAUCCAAGGGUGCUUCCAUCAAAGCAAGAAAUAAAAUGUGAAAGACUCUUCCAGAGGCCUUCAGUGGGAGCCAAGGAUGACCACUGGUGGUCCAAUCCUUCAACUC